GGGGGUGCAGCUCAGUGGCAGAGCAGAUGCCUAACAUGCAUAAGGCCCUGGGUUCAAUCCUCAGCACUGCAA
rnacentral:tRNA from 1 species